AUUGAACGCUGGCGGCAUGCCUUACACAUGCAAGUCGAACGGCAGCACGGGAGCAAUCCUGGUGGCGAGUGGCGAACGGGUGAGUAAUAUAUCGGAACGUGCCCAGUCGUGGGGAUAACGUAGCGAAAGCUACGCUAAUACCGCAUACGAUCUAUGGAUGAAAGCGGGGGAUCGCAAGACCUCGCGCGAUUGGAGCGGCCGAUAUCAGAUUAGGUAGUUGGUGAGGUAAAGGCUCACCAAGCCGACGAUCUGUAGCUGGUCUGAGAGGACGACCAGCCACACUGGGACUGAGACACGGCCCAGACUCCUACGGGAGGCAGCAGUGGGGAAUUUUGGACAAUGGGCGCAAGCCUGAUCCAGCAAUGCCGCGUGCAGGAUGAAGGCCUUCGGUUGUAAGACGUNUUUACCCGUACGAUGAUAAUG
rnacentral:rRNA from 1 species